AUGAUCAAAAUUGCUAAAUUCAAAAUAACAUUUGUACCUGCGGAUGCGUGGAGACAGUUCUGUAAGACGACAGAGAGCAGCACGGAGGCUGAAAAAACAUCAAGAAGAAGCUUUAGUGUCCUUCAACAUCCAGUCUCAGUUCAGCUGAAAGAAGGAAAGAGGGUCAACCACAGGAAGAAAUGUGUCAGCUCUGCAGCGGAGAUGGUGACGAGAUCACCCGCCCGCCAGACCGACCGACCGCCUGCCUUACUCAUGUUGUGAGUGCACAAAUGUGUCUAGACCCUUUCAUUGUGUUUGCAAAUGUGUCGUCUUCUUACCGGGGGGAGGACACAAAUGACUGGGUGAGAGCAAGCUCAGCAGUUUUUAGAGCGCCAGCGUGAAAGAUGACGCCGUGGUUUUGGUUUUCGCCGGCCUGAAGCCCACAAAUCUAAAAGGGUUCUCCCUGGAUUUUAGGAUUUAGAACGGUUGGGGUAAAUAGGGGCGAGUUGGGUUAAAAAACAAGGUAAUAAAUGCAACAUGUGUCUGAGAUGCCUUGAUAUUUAAUAGGUGGAUCUAAAAAUGGGAAACUUGUGUCAUUGCUGCCUUUUUCUGGUUCGUGGGGUGAGUGUGUAAUGGUUUUCUGUGGUGUCGGGGCGUCAUUUUUGUUUGCAGAAAAUAGCGUCUUCUGAAGGUUUUUGUUGACGCGCUGCAUGGAUUCCUAACACUUUCAGAUGUGCAGCUUCUUCUGCGGUGGAGCUCGCUAAAAUCACAUAGCUUAACUUUGAGUACGUUGCACAAAUCUUUAAGAUGAUUUGUUUUGAGUGACUAUGACCACAACAACUACAGAAGUUAAAUGCUGUUCAUGUUACAUUUCCUUAAAAGCCUUUAGGACUACAGAACUUUUUUGUUUUGUUUUUGGCUAAAAGGCCAGUCCUAACCUGGUAUGACUACACUACCCAGAAGGCCUAUAAGGCUUUAAAGCAGGAGUGUCAAACUCAUUUUCACCGAGGGCCACAUCAGUAUAGUGGUUGUCGUUAAAGGGCCAGAUAUGACUUAAUGAAACUAAAUGUAAUGAAAAAUAAAUGUAAUUACUCCUUAAUGUUAAAUAACUCAUUAUUUAUGUAUUUUAACUUUUUAAAGUGACAAUUACAGUUACAUAGAAAAUAUAUGUUUGCUUGUUACUCUAGCAUGCAUCCUUUUAAAUCGGGUUAUAUGGACAGUGUUUAGGUCCUAUUGUAUAGUUACCAAAUCUGGAUAUGAAUAAAUACACACCAAUUUUUAUUUUUUAUUUUAAGAAAUUAAAAACCUUUAUGCUCUCGUGGGCCACAUAAAAUGACAUGGCGGGCCUUGAGUUUGACACGUGCUUUAGAGGCAGGCGAGUGGUUAGAAGGGUUGAUGGGACGUUUUUCUGAUGAACUGUAAUGUUCUUCAUAACUUUGUGUCCGAAUUCCUUCACUUCUUUCAAAAUCCAAUGCCCUAGAAAUUUCCCAGAAGUCUCUACAAAUACCAGAGUGCAUCAACACUCGCUAGAUUGGCAAAUAUAGACCACAAUGCAUUGGAUUUGAAUGAUUUUUUUUAUCAGAAGAACACUGUGGAUUCAUAUAAUAAUCUUCGUAAAAUGUUCCUAUUUAUCAGGUUUUUACUUCAGGAAAUCGGUGACAUAAAACAAAGUAGUGAGCAUCGUGUUCGAAUUGCUUUUAAAAUCCAAGGCACCGCAUAUAGUCCGCAUUGUAUAGUUUUUUUAGUAGUAGGGGAUUAGGGAGGGACUUCGGACACAAUAUUUGUAUAAGCAGUCUCUACGGCGAGACCAUCAUUAUUAAAACUUUAUCGACAAUAACGCUCAACAUUGUUCAUUCGUAACACAAGAAAAAUAAAACAAUAUUCUCUCUGUUUCGCUUCAUUAUGUUGAAGUACAGUAUGUAUCACUCCACCAGACUCCUGACUAGAUUACCCACAAUGCUCCAACAAUCAAGCUACGAAGUCGCUAAAGUUGUACUAAAACGUUUGGACAGAUUUGUGAGCGCCGUGUACGAUGUGCAAAAGGUUCCAGGUCAGUAAACACGAUCAGUUUUUAUAUAAAGGGUGCACUGUUGAUUUUUGAGGAAAUUAAAAGACUUUAAAUGCUUUAUGGUCUGAGAAACACGGCAAUCCAACCUUCUACAAAUGUAGAGCCUUUUGUGGUUUUUAGCUGAAGACGAUGCAAGAACAGAAACAAUAGAAUAUUUUUAGUCAAAUCACAAUUCAUUUUAAACAAAACACGGCUAAAAUUAAAAGUUAAUAAGUUUUAUUAUGUU
rnacentral:lncRNA from 1 species